rnacentral:rRNA from 1 species
UACGUAGGGUGCGAGCGUUAAUCGGAAUUACUGGGCGUAAAGCGUGCGCAGGCGGUUCGUUAAGUUCGUUGUGAAAGCCCCGGGCUCAACCUGGGAACUGCAAUGGAAACUGGCGGGCUUGAAUGCGGCAGAGGGGGGUAGAAUUCCACGUGUAGCAGUGAAAUGCGUAGAGAUGUGGAGGAACACCGAUGGCGAAGGCAGCCCCCUGGGUCAAGAUUGACGCUCAUGCACGAAAGCGUGGGGAGCAAACAGG